rnacentral:rRNA from 1 species
UACAGAGGUCCCAAGCGUUGUUCGGAUUCACUGGGCGUAAAGGGUGCGUAGGCGGUCGGGUAAGUCUGAUGUGAAAUCUCACAGCUUAACUGUGAAACUGCAUUGGAUACUAUCCGGCUCGAGGAAUGGAGGGGAGACUGGAAUUCCUGGUGUAGCGGUGGAAUGCGCAGAUAUCAGGAGGAACACCGGUGGCGAAGGCGGUGGUCUGGGCCGGAACUGACGCUGAGGAGCGAAAGCGUGGGGAGCGAACAGG